AGUCAGGACCCGCACAAUCAAGCCCAGUGAACCCCGCCAGGACCGAGAGGUAGCAACGGUAGCUGGGAAUUUGAUGUGUUGCGGUGUUCCUGGCUAUC
rnacentral:SRP_RNA from 1 species